rnacentral:rRNA from 1 species
AUUGAACGCUGGCGGCAGGCCUAACACAUGCCAGUCGAGCGGAUGAAGGGAGCUUGCUCCUGGAUUCAGCGGCGGACGGGUGAGUAAUGCCUAGGAAUCUGCCUGGUAGUGGGGGAUAACGUCCGGAAACGGGCGCUAAUACCGCAUACGUCCUGAGGGAGAAAGUGGGGGAUCUUCGGACCUCCCGCUAUCAGAUGAUCCUAGGUCGGAUUAGCUAGUUGGUGGGGUAAAGGCCUACCAAGGCGACGAUCCGUAACUGGUCUGAGAGGAUGAUCAGUCACACUGGAACUGAGACACGGUCCAGGCUCCUACGGGAGGCAGCAGUGGGGAAUAUUGGACAAUGGGCGAAAGCCUGAUCCAGCCAUGCCGCGUGUGUGAAGAAGGUCUUCGGAUUGUAAAGCACUUUAAGUUGGGAGGAAGGGCAGUAAGUUAAUACCUUGCUGUUUUGACGUUACCAACAGAAUGAGCACCGGCUAACUUCGUG